UACGAAGGGGGCUAGCGUUGCUCGGAAUCACUGGGCGUAAAGCGCACGUAGGCGGCUUCUAAGUCAGGGGUGAAAUCCUGGAGCUCAACUCCAGAACUGCCUUUGAUACUGAGGAUCUUGAGUUCGGGAGAGGUGAGUGGAACUGCGAGUGUAGAGGUGAAAUUCGUAGAUAUUCGCAAGAACACCAGUGGCGAAGGCGGCUCACUGGCCCGAUACUGACGCUGAGGCACGAAAGCGUGGGGAGCAAACAGG
rnacentral:rRNA from 1 species